UCGCCGUGGGGUUGACAAACCGGCGGGUAGCUUCCCCUCUGCUCCGUAGGUUCCGGUUCCCUCACCGGGAGGGCUGGGCCGCCCGCCCCCGCCGGGACCCCGCACCUCUACACCGACCUGAGGGACCCCCAACACCCCUCCCACUCACUGUGGGGUCUGUACACCGGCAGGCAGCCCCCGCCCUGCUCUCCCUGCCUCGCCCCCGCUGCAGGCCCCGUGCCCCCCACCGGGAGAAGAAGGAGGACCCGCCGGGGCCCUGCACCCCACUGUCGCCGUGAGAGGGGCCCCCCCACCCCCUGGAGUCGGGAUCCCGGCAGGCAGCCCCUCUCUGCUGCCCCCCGCCUCGCCCCUGCCGCAGACCCUGUUCCCCGAUUGUGCUGCGGCCCCGGGGGCACCGAGGCUUCUCCUGGUGGGGGGCUCGCUUGCUCCCUCCGGCUGGGCUGCAUCCCCCUUCCCUCCCUGCCCUGAGGGUUAGUCCCCAGUUGCCCUUGCUCCAGGGUGCUCAUUCCCUGGGAGCUGAUUCCCUCUCCCCACCCUGAUGUGGGGCCCAUCUCCCCUCACGCCCCCUUGGAGCUGGGUCCCUACUUGACCCUGCUCCAGGGUGCUCACCUCUCAGGAGCUGGAGGUGAUUUCCUCUCCCUGCCCAGGCUUGCAUCCCCUCACCCCCCCUGGGGGUGGGUCCCCGCUCUCUCCAGCUCUGGGGUGUUUACCCUUUGGGAGUUGGAGGCUGAUGCCCUCUCCCCACCUUGUUGUGGGGCUCAUCCCUCCUCACACCCCCCUGGGACUGGAUGCCCACUCUUCUGGCUCCAGGGUGCUCACCCCUCAGGAGAUGGGGGCUGAUGCCCUCUCCCUGUGCCAUUGCUGAGGCCUGGGCAGCCCUAGCAGGGGUACCCAGUGUAACUGGGCUGCUGCUGACAGCUUGGGACCAGUGGGACUGGCUGUCUCUUGCUUCCAGGGAGGAGUGAGCGCUUUUAAUCUCUCCACAGGGUCCCAGGGCCAGUGGAGCGCCAGGCCUGGCCUGCGGUGCGAUGGACUUGGCGUACGUCUGCGAGUGGGAGAAAAAGCCGAAGAGCAACCACUGUCCCUCUAUUCCUUUAGUGUGCGCGUGGUCCUGCCGCAACCUCAUCGCUUUCACCACAGACCUCAAAAAUGAGGAGGAAAAAGAUCUUACCCAUAUGGUCCAUAUCAUUGACACGGAACACCCGUGGGAUGUCUAUUCUGUUAAUUCGGGCCACACUGAAGUCAUCACUUGCUUGGAGUGGGAUCAGUCAGGCUCCAGGCUGCUCUCGGCGGACGCGGACGGCCACAUCAAGUGCUGGAGCAUGACCGAUCACUUGGCCAACAGCUGGGAGAGCACAGUAGGCAGCGCGGUGGAAGGGGACCCUAUUGUGGCCCUGUCUUGGCUGCACAACGGCGUGAAGCUGGCUCUGCAUGUGGAAAAGUCUGGAGCAUCAAACUUCGGUGAGAAGUUCUCGAGGGUCAAGUUCUCUCCGUCGCUGACGCUGUUUGGUGGGAAGCCCAUGGAGGGCUGGAUCGCUGUCACUAUCAGUGGGCUGGUGACCGUCUCGCUGCUCAAGCCCAAUGGGCAAGUGCUAACAUCCACAGAGAGCCUGUGCCGCCUGCGCUGUCGCGUUGCCUUGGCCGACGUUGCCUUCACCGGUGGGGGGAACAUCGUGGUGGCCACUUCAGAUGGCAGCAGCACCUCUCCUGUCCAGUUCUACAAAGUCUGUGUCAGCGUGGUGAAUGAGAAAUGCAAAAUAGACACUGAAAUCCUGCCUUCCCUCUUCAUGCGCUGCACCACGGACCCUGCCCGCAAAGACAAAUACCCAGCCAUCACUCACCUCAAAUUCCUGGCUCGGGACAUGUCAGAGCAGGUGUUGCUUUGUGCUUCCAACCAAAACAGCAGCAUCGUGGAGUGCUGGUCUCUGCGGAAAGAGGGCUUGCCAGUCAAUAAUAUCUUCCAGCAAAUCUCCCCCGUGGUUGGAGACAAGCAGCCCAUGAUACUGAAAUGGCGGAUUCUUUCGGCCACAAAUGACUUGGAUCGCGUUUCAGCCGUGGCUUUGCCAAAACUGCCCAUCUCCCUCACCAACACUGAUCUGAAGGUGGCAAAUGACACUAAGUUCUUCCCUGGAUUGGGUCUGGCUUUGGCUUUCCACGAUGGCAGUGUCCACAUUGUCCAUCGCCUGUCCUUGCAAAUGAUGGCCGUCUUCUAUGGCUCUUCUUCCCAGCGCCCGGUGGACGAGCAAACUAUCAAAAGGCAGCGAACUGCUGGGCCCCUGGUCCACUUCAAAGCCAUGCAGCUCUCCUGGACCUCUCUGGCCUUGGCUGGCAUUGACAGUCACGGGAAGCUGAGCAUGCUUCGCAUCUCCCCGUCUAUGGGCCAUGUGCUGGACAUGAACAUGUCCCUCCGUCACUUGCUUUUCCUGUUGGAAUACUGCAUGGUCACUGGCUACGACUGGUGGGACAUCUUGCUCCACGUCCAACCCAACAUGGUCCAGAACUUGGUGGAGAAGCUGCAUGAGGAGUACAUGCGCCAGAAUGCGGCCCUGCAGCAGGUCCUCUCAACGCGCAUUGUUGCCAUGAAGGCCUCCCUUUGCAAGCUCUCCUCCAGCACGAUAGCCCGUGUGUGUGACUACCAUGCGAAGCUGUUCCUGAUCGCCAUAAGCUGCACCUUGAAAUCGCUGCUGCGCCCACACAUCCUCAACACCCCGGACAAGAGUCCUGGCGACCGGCUCACCGAGGUCUGCUCCAAGAUCACAGAUAUAGACAUUGAUAAGGUGAUGAUUAACCUGAAGACGGAAGAAUUUGUCCUGGAGAUGACAACGUUGCAGUCCCUGCAGCAGCUCAUCCAGUGGGUGGGAGAUUUUGUGCUCUAUCUGCUGGCCAGCCUUCCUAACCAGGGCUCUCCUGUGCGGCCGGGACACAGCUUUCUGCGAGACGGAGCAUCUCUGGGCAUGUUCAGGGAGCUGAUGGUGGUGAUCCGUAUUUGGGGACUGCUGAAGCCAAGCUGCCUCCCUGUCUACACGGCAACCUCUGACACCCAGGACAGCAUGUCCCUCCUCUUCAGGCUCCUAACUAAACUCUGGCUGUGCUGUCGUGAGGAAAAUCACAUCACGGAGCCAGAUGAUACCCUGAUCGACGAAUGUUGCCUCCUACCCAGCCAGUUGCUCAUUCCCAAUAUCGAUUGGUUGCCCAUCAACGAUGGCAUUAUCAGCAGGCUGCAGAACAAACAGCUUGUCCGGCUGCAGUUUGGGAAGGCUCCUGGCCUCGUGGGGCACUCUGUCUCUUCCCAAUAUGAUGCCUUUGUCAGGGCACCUGGACAGCCUAAAAUCGAUCACCUGAGGCGGCUUCACUUAGGAGCGUACCCGACAGAGGAGUGCAAGUCCUGUACCAGGUGUGGCUGUGUCACGAUGCUGAAAUCACCCAACAAGGUCACCGCGGUGAAGCAGUGGGAGCAGCGCUGGAUCAAGAACUGCUUGUGUGGGGGCCUGUGGAGAAGGAUGCCCCUCAGCUAUUCCUGAGCGUGCCUUCAGUGCGGCAGAGAGGGAACAGCGGGUACCAAGUGGAAAAGCUGCUCGGAGCUUCCUUCCCUGCAGGUCCUUCAGCUGUUAGAGUGGGCUUUUAACUGCACAAGGAGCCUCCCACCCUCCUGGUGGGCCGGGGUGUAGCCACCUUGCGGCACAGCACUGCUUCCGGACUUCCAGAAGGUGGAAGCUCAUCAGAGUCGUUGCUUCGGCUCUCCCUGGGCGUAAGGGUGUUGGAAGCCCAAGUGGGGAAGGACCUGCCUGUAGAGCCUGGCUGCAAGCUGCCACCAAGCAGAGGAGAUUUGAGUCAGCGAGAGCUGGUGGUGGCCCAGGACCCCAGCCGAGUCGCAACACCGGGAUUGUCCCAUCCUUGGCCACGCUCAGCGCUUCACCAUCCACCCACACGCCUGGGAUGCAACCGGAGCUACAAGGACCUUGGCAAAGCCAGAAGCGUUUGGAUGCAGCCCAAAGGGAAGUGGGGACGGUCCCAUGGGUGGCAAUGGAGGGACAGAGGGGACUGAGCAAGCCCAGCAUGACCUUGAGGGUUUCCUCCUGCCGUGGCCCAGUGGGAUCCCAAGGAGGAGAGGGAUUUGCUGGAGUGGAACCAUGCCGGGUGCGUGGUGGGGAGGAAGGUCCUAAUGGG